UACGAAGGAUCCAAGCGUUAUCCGGAUUUAUUGGGUUUAAAGGGUGCGUAGGCGGAUUUACAAGUCAGUGGUGAAAUCUCCCAGCUUAACUGGGAAACUGCCAUUGAAACUGUUUAUCUUGAGUACAUUUGAGGCGGGCGGAAUGUGUCAUGUAGAGGUGAAAUUCUUAGAUAUGACACAGAACACCAAUUGCGAAGGCAGCUCGCUAAACUGUAACUGACGCUGAGGCACGAAAGCGUGGGGAUCAAACAGG
rnacentral:rRNA from 1 species